CAGAGAAUAGUUUAUUGAAGAACCCUAGCUUUGGGUGCUAGAGGAACAGGUUAAAUUCCUCUUUCUUUGA
rnacentral:tRNA from 1 species